rnacentral:rRNA from 1 species
AACGCUGGCGGCGUGCCUAACACAUGCAAGUCGAACGAAGCACCUUUUGAGAUUCUUCGGAUGAUCGAUCGGUGACUGAGUGGCGGACGGGUGAGUAACGCGUGGGUAACCUGCCCUGUACAGGGGGAUAACAGCUGGAAACGGCUGCUAAUACCGCAUAAGCGCACGAGGAGACAUCUCCUAGUGUGAAAAACUCCGGUGGUACAGGAUGGGCCCGCGUCUGAUUAGCUGGUUGGCAGGGUAACGGCCUACCAAGGCAACGAUCAGUAGCCGGUCUGAGAGGAUGAACGGCCACAUUGGAACUGAGACACGGUCCAAACUCCUACGGGAGGCAGCAGUGGGGAAUAUUGCACAAUGGGGGAAACCCUGAUGCAGCAACGCCGCGUGAGUGAAGAAGUAUUUCGGUAUGUAAAGCUCUAUCAGCAGGGAAGAUAAUGACGGUACCUGACUAAGAAGCUCCGGCUAAAUACGUGCCAGCAGCCGCGGUAAUACGUACGGAGCAAGCGUUAUCCGGAUUUACUGGGUGUAAAGGGUGCGUANGUGGCAGUGCAAGUCAGAUGUGAAAGGCCGGGGCUCAACCCCGGAGCUGCAUUUGAAACUGCUCGGCUAGAGUACAGGAGAGGCAGGCGGAAUUCCUAGUGUAGCGGUGAAAUGCGUAGAUCUUAGGAGGAACACCAGUGGCGAAGGCGGCCUGCUGGACUGUUACUGACACUGAGG